rnacentral:rRNA from 1 species
AACGAACGCUGGCGGCAUGCCUAACACAUGCAAGUCGAACGAGACCUUCGGGUCUAGUGGCGCACGGGUGCGUAACGCGUGGGAACCUGCCCUUAGGUUCGGAAUAACUCCUCGAAAGGGGUGCUAAUACCGGAUAAUGUCUUCGGACCAAAGAUUUAUCGCCUUUGGAUGGGCCCGCGUUGGAUUAGCUGGUUGGUAGGGUAAAAGCCUACCAAGGCGACGAUCCAUAGCUGGUCAGAGAGGAUGAUCAGCCACACUGGGACUGAGACACGGCCCAGACUCCUACGGGAGGCGGGAGUGGGGAAUAUAGGACAAUGGGCGGAGGCCUGAUCCAGCAAGGCCGCGUGAGUGAUGAAGGCCUUAGAGAAGUAAAGCUCUUUUACCCGGGAUGAUAAUGACGGUACCGAAAGAAUAAGCUCCGGCUAACUCCGUG